rnacentral:rRNA from 1 species
UACGGAGGAUCCAAGCGUUAUCCGGAUUUAUUGGGUUUAAAGGGUGCGUAGGCGGCCUGUUAAGUCAGGGGUGAAAGACGGUAGCUCAACUAUCGCAGUGCCCUUGAUACUGAUGGGCUUGAAUACACUAGAGGUGGGCGGAAUGUGACAAGUAGCGGUGAAAUGCAUAGAUAUGUCACAGAACACCAAUUGCGAAGGCAGCUUACUAUGGUGUCAUUGACGCUGAGGCGCGAAAGCGUGGGGAGCGAACCGG